rnacentral:rRNA from 1 species
AGUAAUGUUGCGAUGAUCUGCUCUAGUUGUGUAAGAUAACCGCGGAAACCUGUGGCUAAGAGACUAGAAUGAGACGCAACCCUAUCAGUUUGUUGGUAGUGUAACGGACUACCAAGACUAUGACGGGUGACGGGAAAUCAGUGUUUGAUUCCGGAGAGGGAGCCUGAGAGAUGGCUCCCACGUCCAAGGAUGGCAGCAGGCGCGAAAAUUGUCCACUCUUUGUUGAGGAGACAGUUAUGAGGCGUGAUUGUAAGAGCGAAGAGUAAACAUCUUUGUGUAAUGCAACUAGAGGGCAAGUUUUGGUGCCAGCAGCCGCGGUAACUCCAACUCUAGAAGUGCCUAUUGUGGAUGCUGCAGUUAAAAAGUCCGUAGUCGUUGAUGCAAUUAAAAGGUGUAGAUCAAGUGCACCAAGUUUGUUAGUUGUGGCGGAGCGGACAGGGAGCAUGGUAUAGGUUGGCGAAGAAUGAAAUCUCAAGACCCAACCUGGACCAACUGAGGCGAAAGCGGUGCUCUUGUACGCGUCUGUGGAUCAAGGACGAAGGCUAGAGGAUCGAAAGUGAUUAGACACCGCUGUAGUUCUAGCAGUAAACUAUGCCGACAUUCUCUGUUGUUGAGACGGGGAGGGGAGAAAUCUUAGUUUUCGGGCUCUGGGGAUAGUACGCUUGCAAGAGUGAAACUUAAAGCGAAAUUGACGGAAGAUCACCACAAGGAGUGGAUUGUACUGCUUAAUUUGACUCAACACGGGAAAACUUACCAGGGCCAAGUCUCUCGUAGAUUGGCGACAUGAGAGGGGCAAGAGUGGUGCAUGGCCGUUGGAAAUUGAUGGGAUGACCUUUAGCUUAAGUGCUGUAACCAGUGAGAUCUUCUAGACAGGUGUCUUACUGACACAGGAAGGAGAAGGCUAUAACAGGUCCGUGAUGCCCUCAGAUGCCCUGGGCCGCAAGUGCAAUACAAUAUCCGUUUGAGCGACAUAAAUAUGCUUACGGAUGAGUAGGAUUAGCUCUUGUAAAUGAGCUAUGAAUGAGGAAUUCCUAGUAACUGUGUCUCAUCAAGGCACAGUGAAUGCGUCCCUGUUCUUUGUACACACCGCCCGUCACUAUUGCGGAUGGCAAUCAAGAUGAAGAGCCUAG